rnacentral:rRNA from 1 species
GACGAACGCUGGCGGCGUGCUUAACACAUGCAAGUCGAACGGAAAGGCCCUGCUUUUGUGGGGUGCUCGAGUGGCGAACGGGUGAGUAACACGUGAGUAACCUGCCCUUGACUUUGGGAUAACUUCAGGAAACUGGGGCUCAUACCGGAUAGGAGCUCCUGCUGCAUGGUGGGGGUUGGAAAGUUUCGGCGGUUGGGGAUGGACUCGCGGCUUAUCAGCUUGAUGGUGGGGUAGUGGCUUACCAAGGCUUUGACGGGUAGCCGGCCUGAGAGGGUGACCGGCCACAAUGGGACUGAGAGACGGCCCAGACUCCUACGGGAGGCAGCAGUGGGGAACAUUGCACAAUGGGCGGAAGCCUGAUGCAGCAACGUCGCGUGCGGGAUGACGGCCUUCGGGUUGUAAACCGCUUUCGCCUGUGACGAAGCGUGAGUGACGGUAAUGGGUAAAGAAGCACCGGCUAACUACGUG